UCCUUGGACUUUUCUAAGACGAGCUCAGGGGUGAAGUUAUCUUAACUCAGGGAGAGUGGAGGUGUGGAGGGGAAUCUAGGUUCCAGAUGCUGUGUUAUCAGUCGCAGAGAGAAAACCCAUCUGCGCUGGAGAGAGUAAAGCCAAGAAGCGAAAAGAAGCAAUUUGUCCAAGGGAGGAAGAUUCAGAACACUGUUCCCGCCUCAACCCCACCUUGAACAAUUCAUUUCCCAAACUUUUUGGGCUUUGUGGGCUUAUUAGAAGCUGAAUGUAAUAAUAUGCAUUUAAGAUUCCUCUAAAUCUUUUCAUAGCUUAAUUUCUUUUGAACACUGAAUAAUAGUCCAUUGUCAGGGUGUACCACAGUUUAUCCAUUCACCUACUGAAAGAUAUUUUGGUUGCUUCCAAGUUUUUGGCAAUUAUGAAAAAAAUCUUCUCUAAACAUCAGUGUGCAGGUUUUUAUGUGGACAUAAAUUUUCAGCUCAUUUGGGUAAAAGCCAAGGGGUGCCACUGCUGAAUCAUAUGGAACUGCCAAAGUGUCUUCCAAAGUGGCUGUACCAUUUUGCAUUCCAAUCAGCAACGAAUGGGAAUGCAGGGAAGAAACAUGAGUAAGAAAGCAAAAAGCUGAUACAGGAAAAGAUCACUUGCUUCUCUAAAAAGUAAUAAAAAAGGAACCAUGAAAAGAUCUUGCAUUAUACAGAGGCCUUAUAAGAAGAAAGAAAGGGAAGGGGAAAAGAAAUCAAAUGAAGCAUAAGCUUCAGAAAAACACUGGAGUCUAGCUGAUAAAAACUGUGACGUUAAAACAUUACACACUUAUUACCAUGGCCAAAAUUUGAAACACUGACAGCAAAGAAUGCUGGCCAGGAUGUGGAGCAAUAGGACCUCCCGUCCAUCGCCAAAAACUUGGACGCAAACAAAAUAUCUUUCAGUUGGUGAAUGGAUAAACUGUGGUACACCCUGACAGUGGAAUAUCAUUCAGUGUUCAAAAGAAAUUAAGCUAUGAAAAGAUUAGGAGGGACCUUAAAUGCAUAUUAUUACUAAGUGAAAGAAGCCAACCUGCGAAGACUGUGUACCAUAUGAUUUCAACUAUAUGACAUUCUGGAAAAGGCAAAACUAUGGUGACAGUAAAAAGACCAGUGGUUGAGAGGGGCUAGUGAGGAUGGAAGGAUGGGGCACAGAGGAUUUCUAGGGUGGUGGAACUAUUUUGUAUGAUACUAUUAUGGCAGAUUCAUG
ensembl:lncRNA